AUUUGAUAGAAAAAUAUUAUUAUUAAUUUUAAUAAAAAUUUUUUUUUGUUUAAGUAAUUAUUGAAUAAAUAAAAUUUAUGAUAAUAAAAAUUAUUGUAAAAGAAAUUAAUUUUAAUUUUAAAGAAAUUUUAAAUUAAUGUACCUUGUGUAUCAGGGCUUAUUUAUUAAAAUUUAUUUUUUUAAAUUUCUCGAAUUAAAAAGAGUGAUUAAUUUAUAUAUUUUAUUGUAAAAUAAAUAUUUAAAAUAAAUUAAUAGAAAAGAAAUUUUAUUCAAUUUUUAAUAUAUCUAGUUUUAAUUUAAAUAAAUUGAAUUUAUUUAUUAAUAAUUUAUUAUAAGUUUUUAUAAAAAAUUUAUUAAUAAAAAAUAUUUUUUGGGAUAAGCUAGAAAAUAAAUAUUUUGUUCAUAUAAAUAUAUUUAAAUAAAUAUUAAAUGUAGAAUUAAUAAUAUUUAUCAUUAAUAAUUUUUUAUAAUUAAUAAUUAAUAAUAUAAAAAUUUUUAUUAAAAGAAAUAUUUUAAAUUAAUAUUAUAUUAAAUUUUUUAAUUUAAUUUAUAAUGAUAAAAUUAGUAUAAAUACUUUUAUAAAAUUUUUAUUAAAAAAAUUUAUUUUAAGGAAUUCGACAAAUCUAAUUUUCGACUGUUUAUUAAAAACAUUUCUUUUUGAUUAUAAUUUAAAGUAUAUUCUGCCCAAUGAAAUUUUAAUGGCUGCAGUAUAUUGACUGUACAAAGGUAGCAUAAUCAAUAGUUUCUUAAUUAGAAGCUGGAAUGAAUGAAUUUACGAGAAAUUAAUUGUCUCAAUAUAAAAUUUAUAAUUUUAUUUUUAAGUAAAAAAGCUUAAAUUUUGUUAAAAGACGAGAAGACCCUAUAGAAUUUUAUAUAAUUUUAUAUAAAAAUUUUAUUAAGUAAAAUUGUAUUUUGUUGGGGUGAUAAAAAAAUUUAUUUAACUUUUUUUUUAUUUAAACAAUAAUUAUUGAAUUUUUGAUCCAAUUUUUUGAUUAUAAGAAUAAAUUACCUUAGGGAUAACAGCGUAAUAUUUUUUUAGAGUUCAAAUCAAAAAAAAUGCUUGCGACCUCGAUGUUGGAUUAAAAUAAAUUAUUGGUGUAGAAGCUAAUAUAUUAAGUCUGUUCGACUUUUAAAAUUUUACAUGAUCUGAGUUUAAACCGGUGUAAGCCAGGUUGGUUUCUAUCUUUAAUUAUAAAAAUAUUUUAGUACGAAAGGACCUUAUAUU
rnacentral:rRNA from 1 species